GUGAGUGUUUCUUUGGCAGUGUCUUAGCUGGUUGUUGUGAGUAACAGUGCAGGAAGCAAUCAGCAAGUAUACUGCCCUAGAACUGCUGCAC
rnacentral:pre_miRNA from 1 species